ACGCCCUGCAGCGCACAUGCACACGCGUACACACAAGAAGCGCGGCAGCGUAGGGUGUGCAUGUCUGCAUGUCUGCGUGCUACUCGACCUUCGUAUUUUAUUUCUGUUCGGACCCUCUCGCGUGCUGUGUGUAUGCGUAUCCCUGGAAGAGGAGUAAGGGGGUGGGGCACUGCCCCCAUCAUUCCUCUAUGCUCGACGCCUCGCCUUCUUCUCGCCUCUUUCCUGAUUCAGCGCCGAAUCGCUCGCAUACAUCGAACAAGAGAGGGCACUGACAACACCACGCUAAAAAUGCGACUUCCUUUUUUUGUUUUAACGUGUGCACCUUUUUUGCCUGGCGCAACAGGAGUCACACACCACUCUACACCACGCCACACCACCACCCGCCAGUCUGCCGCGGGCCCCGUCGCCUGGUGCGAAGCAUGCCGUUCGCACACGCGUUGCAGCCGUGCGCCGUCCCAGUCAGCUGAGAGCACGGCCUCUGCCUCACACGCUACGCGCCACCGCUCCGCGGGCCGCCUCGCAGCCGGCUCCCCUCAUGCCGGUCGCCACCUGGUGCAUCCUCCUCGGCGUGGCACGCAGGCUCCCCAUCAGCAGGCAGUGAGGGCCGGGUGGGAUACGCUCGAGCUCGGUUGGCGCUGUGCCCAUCAUGCGGAUGCGCAAGCGUGUGCACCGUCGCGGGUCGCCCGCGAUGCCGCGCCAUCCAGCGCCUGACCGCCGGCAUACCAGCGGCGGUACAUCGCUGUGACCCCUCCGCACAUGCUAGGUACUUGAGCCUGGCACCGCCACAAGCGGUUCCGGCAUUGGCAGGGUGGGUGUGUACGGGAGGCCCUGGGAUGCCAUGCACCGAGAGGUAUGUGUGUCUCUUCGUCAUGAGUGAAGAAGUAACAAAAUUUUAUUUAUUGGGAGUUGAGAUGAAUAUGAUGGAUGAGCAGAUGCGAAGCGAACAAGUGAGCACCGUUUUCGAGGCCGUUCACGGCGAGUGCGCGUGUGCGCGGCACACGGCUGAUCCCUAUCCCUUUUUCGUUUGCCUCUUUCCCGGCACGGCUUUGCCUUCUUCCGUGCCUCAUGUGCUCUUCGUGUGUACGUUUUCUGUUUGUGUGUCAGGGAUGCCGUCAACGUCCCGCAGUGGUGCGCUGUUCCUGUGCAAACCGUCGUCUGCCCUCCAGUUUGCCCUCCCUACGCUGCCCGCGCGAGCUCACACGGAGGCAAGCGGCUUUCCGCCUCAUCACUUCUUUGUUUUUUUUUUUGUUGUUCUAGGCGGCUUGCAGAGAAAACAGAACGCGCACACGCUCACUGACUCCCGUCCGAGCCUCUCCGCUUUCUCCUCCUCCGCCCCUUUCUGCUCAUGUCUUCUGUAUCACUCCUCACGCGCAACUGAUGGGGUCGAAGACACCGUAAGGCGAGGACGACAGAGAGCGGGAGAGGCAAGGCGAGGGUGACUAUCGGCGCAGCAACGAUCUGCCGAUACGAGGUGGCACGAACAGCAACGUGUGGAUGUGUAUCCGAUGCUGCGAAGUGCACGGGACCAAACCCGCCAUCAUCUUGUGGCCUCUUUCUCUUUCUUUCGCUUUUUGAUUUUCCCCUGUCAUGCUUUUAUUUCUGUGUGCGGGUGUGUGCCAUUGGCCACGAGCGUACUCGACAUGCAUCUGGCCAUGCUGCAGCUUUUUCUGCUGCCAUCCUUCACCCUGCGCUUAUCUGCUGCCAAGCCUUCUUUGUUUUUGUUGCGUCAAGGAAAACCUCCUCUUGUAUGGCCUCCGCUGUGCGCGUGCGUCUUCUCCUUUUUUUAUCGUGGGGGCGGAGGGGCUAGGUCAUCGUCGUCGUGGCCCGGAAGGCGGAACUCCGUUCACAUGCGCCGCUCUGUCUUGCUCGGUGUGCGCGCCGACGUGUUUGUGGCCGAGCUAGUGUGUGUGUGCGUAGGUGUUGACGCACGAACUUCUUCCUUUUCUCUCGCGUUGCCCUCUCUGUGUAUUGGCACUGCUCUCUCGCUUGCGCACACACUGGAUCGUCUUUAUGUGAGUUUGCUGCAUGCCAUUCACGGCUUCCACUCUAAGGGAGGGCGUGAGUGUGCGUGGGUGUUCGCCCCUCCUGUCUUCUCCUCUUGUGCUUCUUUUCGUUUUCUUCGAUCUCUCCUGUCGUUCUAGCGGGGAUGGAUGGGCGUCUGUGCGGGUGGGUGGGCAGCUCCCCUCUCUCCUCAAUCCUCCCUCCCUCUCUCUGGCUGUGUGUGUGUGUGUGUGCUCGCGUGUCUCGUACCACGUUUUUGUUUAGGGUUAGCGAUCACUUUCGUCUUGUUCUUGCAGCACCUUGUCUUCACGCCUCCUCGUGGUGCAUGCCUUGUCUGGCACUCUCUGUCGACUGACGAUAUGGGUCACAUCACGAACGGACGAAGGGAGCGGGAGGAAGUAAAACGACAAGAGAACACACAGCAGAAGAGGAGGGAAGGAUGUGUGCGUCCAUGACUGUGAGUGCGCGUGUGGAGGUGGGGUGCGGUGGCUGAGUGCGGGACGUCUCUCUCUCUGUGUUUGUGUGUGUCUUGUCCUCGAUUGAGAGUCCAUAAGCCACACACACACACACACCUUUCGCUGCAUCGCGCACGCAGCCCCCCUCCCCCUCCCCCGCAACGCCAUGUCCAGACCCGCCCACUGCUCUGACGCAGGGAACAAGGCGGCAACUAAUUAUUUGUGAAAGCCAACCGAUAUCUUUCUCUCUCUUUGGUGCGAUCUGGCUCUGUUGUGUGCCGAACAUAUACAUGCACCCACGGGGACAAGCACCAGCCCAUGGCACAAGUGUGCGCAGAGGCGCUGUGGUGGUGCUGGCGCGCUGAAGGAUUCCAACAACGGCGAUAAACGAAAAGAAAGCGAAGAGGCUACCAGUGUAGCGGUCCCCUGGCCUUCAUGGGCGGGGGGGGCCAUGCUCAAGCAACACACACACACACACACCAAAACUGAGAUGACAGUUGCAUGUGUGUGCGUGUGCGUAUUUGGAUGGCCA
rnacentral:misc_RNA from 1 species